AUGAGAUUUUUUCAAGGCGUUAAUAAUUCUGGGGU
rnacentral:antisense_RNA from 1 species